rnacentral:rRNA from 1 species
CAGUCGCCGCGGUAAUACGAAGGGGGCUAGCGUUGUUCGGAUUUACUGGGCGUAGAGCGCACGUAGGCGGACUUUUAAGUCAGGGGUGAAAUCCCGGGGCUCAACCCCGGAACUGCCUUUGAUACUGGGAGUCUUGAGUUCGAGAGAGGUGAGUGGAAUUGCGAGUGUAGAGGUGAAAUUCGUAGAUAUUCGCAGGAACACCAGUGGCGAAGGCGGCCCACUGGCUCGAUACUGACACUGAGGUGCGAAAGCGUGGGGAGCGAACAGGAUUAGAUACCCCUGUAGUCCCUGUCUCUUAUAC